UCCAAGCCUAGAGAAACCAUGUACAGCAGA
rnacentral:piRNA from 1 species